rnacentral:misc_RNA from 1 species
AUGCCGAUGGAGCGCAGGAUG